GCUCGUCAAUGGAAAGAGGGAAGAAAGACGCAUCAAAUCCUCUCCACAGGGUGGUGAGUGUGUAAAUAUCUGUGUUCUUCCCUCUAUUCCUUGCAUCCGAGGGCGAGAAGAGAAGGAAUCCUUGAAACAUUUAUGGGUCUCUCAUUGAUGUCAUGUCUGAAAGCUGCCGAAUCACCUCCAUUCAUUGGUAAUUACGUGCUACUAUGUACGGGAGGUUCCAGUGUUUGCCAUUACAGCACUAAACAUGCAACUUAUUGUUGAGAAUAAUUGCAAGUGGGUCUUCUGCCUGUGUGAGGAUCUGGCCUGGAGUCACAUCACUCUAGCAAGCAAAGAAGAAAUCAGUGAAGUAGCAACUCUAUAUAAAAAAGUGAAUUCAUCUUUCUAUAGCUGUGGCUGGCAUACAGU